rnacentral:snRNA from 1 species
AUGCUUGCUUCUGCAGCACAUAUACUAAAAUUGGAAUGAUGCAGAGAAGAUUAGCAUGGUCCCUGCACAAGGAUGACACACAAAUUUGGGAAGAACUCACAAAUAUU